UACGUAGGCAGCAAGCGUUGUUCGGAGUUACUGGGCGUAAAGGGUGCGUAGGCGGCGGGGUAAGUCAGGUGUGAAAUCUCGGGGCUCAACUCCGAAACUGCAUUUGAUACUGCCUUGCUAGAGUACUGGAGAGGAGAUUGGAAUUUACGGUGUAGCAGUGAAAUGCGUAGAUAUCGUAAGGAAGACCAGUGGCGAAGGCGAAUCUCUGGACAGUUACUGACGCUGAGGCACGAAGGCCAGGGGAGCAAACGGG
rnacentral:rRNA from 1 species